rnacentral:lncRNA from 1 species
CGCCGCCCCUGAAGGCCGAGCAGGAGGAAGAAGGGCUCCCGCUGCCCCUCGCAAACAUUAAGGAAGAGCCGCCCUCUCCGGGGACCCCACCCCAGUCCCCGCCGGCUCCCCCUGUCUUCCUCAGCGCCUCCUGUUUCGACAGCCAAGACCACUCAGCCUUCGAGAUGGAGGAGGAAGAGGUAGACAGCAAGGCUCACCUGCGCGGGCUGGGGGGCCUGGCCUCCUGACCUUCGCCGCCCUGCCCUCCGCCGCUCCGCCUGAGCUCCCCGGUUUGCAGAAUGGAGGAGGGAAGUUGAAGGAGCCACCUCCUCUGUCUACCCACCCGUCCCCUUCACGCCCUUGACACUAAGGAGUGGGGGGCCCUGGACUGCCCCUUCCUCCCCCAUCGCCCGCCCCCAGAACCCCUGAUGCUGGUUAGGAACCGCUCACCCCAACAUGUGUCUUAAGGCAGGACGACUUGGAAAAAAAGGCGGCGGACAGUUGGCCAGAGGGAUGGAGACUGGUGGGGACGCCCCCGCCUCCCUGUCCCCCGUUUCACACACUGGACACCAUCACCUCUUUGGAACUGCCAGACCCUGGGGGUCCCCAGUGAGCAAAGGUCUGUCCUUGUCCCUUUGUCUGUCUGUGAAUAAAUGUGAGUUCGUGAAAUCCAAGAGAGCGAGGUGUUCUGUGGAGGUGGGGCAGGCUGGGGGCGCUGGGGCGAGUCAGGAUUUGUCCAGCCAACUCUGAACUUGGGUUCAGAGCAGGAAGGACACAGAUGCAUCAGAAAAUAUGUGGCCCUCAACCAAGCAAGAAGCCGGUGAAGGCUGGGUUGAGAAGAAACAGGAAUGUGAGAAGAUAGAUCAUCGUCACCGCUGCCCUGUGGAAGCUCCGCGCGAUUAUCCUCACCACUGCCCUGUGGAAGCUCCGCGCCUUACUCAGUCAAUCUCUACCACACCCUUACUCUGUGUCAGCGGUGGUACUAGGCACUGAGGAGGAGUCCAAUACCUUCCUCUGAAAGAGCUGGAAUUCUAGCCCUGCAUUGUCCAACAUAACUUUUUUUUUUUCUCAGAAAAGUUUCCAUAAUCUUUCUUCCCUCACUCUGUUGCCCAAGCUGCAGUGCCGUGGUGCAGUCAUAGCUCACUGCAGUCUCAAACUCCCAGACCCAAGCAAUCCUCUUAGCCUCUCAAGGAGCUAGGACUACAGGUGCAUGCCACCACACCCAGCUGAUUGUUUCAUUUCUUGCAGAGACGGAGUCUUGCUAUCUUGCCCAGUCUGGGAGAACUUUUUGUGAUGAUGGGAUAUUCUACAUCUUCACUGUCCAAUAUGAUAUCCAGCAGACACACGUGGCUAUUUCCGUUUAAAUUUAGAAUAUGGAAAUGUAAAGACAUUAAGAUGAAAUAAAUGUAAAAGUUCGGUUCCUCAGUCACACUCUUCACUCUUUUUUUUUUUUUGAGAGA